GCCUGGGGGAGAGAGACCCUGUCUCAAAAAUAAACAAACAAACACAUACAUACAUACAUACAUAAAAAGGUAAUUACAUAAGUCCUUGCUACGGAGCCUCCAUACACGAAGGACUUUAAUAACGAGUUGUUAUACACUUUUAUAAACUAUAAAUUUAAGUUUGACGUAUAUGCAUGCUUUAUAGGGGUGGCCGAGUUCUCGCCCGUCACAGGGAUCUUGUCAUCUGAAUCAUAAACCCAGGCAGCUCUGGGAGAACUGAGAGCUCAUUUGUUAAAUGGUCAGCUGUAGUCAACUGUUGCCACCCAGCACGCACUCUCCAGCCUUAACAGAAGCUCCCAGUGGGCAGUGGAGACGCUCCCGUCUCCUAAACACAUCCAGCGGCCAUGUGACUAAGCAAAGGCAGCGGAGAGUGAAUGGAUGGUGACGGAUGGGGCCACGCAGCCGGCCUUCUGUGAGCGCCUACAGUGCACAUCCCUGUCCUUUCUCUCCCUACUCACCUCAGAGGGGGACGGAAGGUGGGACUGGGAGAGCUGUUCUCAGGCUGGUGGACGCUGUGAUCAGCGGAGACAGAAGGCACUUUUGUUCUGGGCACCGUGAAGCUGUCCUGGUCAGUCCUGUUUCCAUGCUUGAGUGUCCGUGGUGCAGCAGCUCCACCAUCCUUGACACCAGGACUUCUGUGGAAUCCAGGCAUCAUCUUAAGAAAGGAAGCCUGAAGGCAGUGUCCGUGUGAACACAAGAGGUCUCAGAUCCAGAAGCACAAGCCGUGCAUGAAAACACCGGAAGACUCACCGUGGAGAGCGAGGGCAGCCAGGCCCUGCCAAACCAGAGGGGGCCCUGGCACCGGCGGCCACAGAGCACCGGGGAGGUAUCACGCCCAAGGGCACACGCAGGAAAAGCGGGGUGAGAAACGCAGAGCUACCUUCCCUUGAGUAUUUUCACAAUUAGUUUGUCCUAAGAGAAAAAAAAAUACACGGUGAACAUCGCUCACUC